UUCUAGGUAUAGCAUUAUACCGUGAAACUGCGAAUGGCUCAUUAAAUCAGUUAUCGUUUAUUUGAUAGUACCUUACUACUUGGAUAACCGUGGUAAUUCUAGAGCUAAUACAUGCUAAAAACCCCGACUUCUGAAGGGGUGUAUUUAUUAGAUAAAAAACCAACGCCCUUCGGGGCUUCUUGGUGAUUCAUGAUAACUUUACGGAUCGCAUGGCCUUGCCCGGCGACGGUUCAUUCAAAUUUCUGCCCUAUCAACUUUCGAUGGUAAGGUAUUGGCUUACCAUGGUUUCAACGGGUAACGGGGAAUUAGGGUUCGAUUCCGGAGAGGGAGCCUGAGAAACGGCUACCACAUCCAAGGAAGGCAGCAGGCGCGCAAAUUACCCAAUCCCAAUACGGGGAGGUAGUGACAAUAAAUACUGAUACAGGGCUCUUUUGGGUCUUGUAAUUGGAAUGAGUACAAUUUAAACCUCUUAACGAGGAACAAUUGGAGGGCAAGUCUGGUGCCAGCAGCCGCGGUAAUUCCAGCUCCAAUAGCGUAUAUUAAAGUUGUUGCAGUUAAAAAGCUCGUAGUUGAAACUUGGGUCUGGCUGGCAGGUCCGCCUCACCGCGUGUACUUGUCCGGCCGGGCCUUCCUUCUGGAGAACCUCAUGCCCUUCACUGGGCGUGUUGGGGACCAGGACUUUUACUUUGAAAAAAUUAGAGUGUUCAAAGCAGGCCUUUGCUCGAAUACGUUAGCAUGGAAUAAUAGAAUAGGACGUGCGGUCCUAUUUUGUUGGUUUCUAGGACCGCCGUAAUGAUUAAUAGGGACAGUCGGGGGCAUCAGUAUUCAAUUGUCAGAGGUGAAAUUCUUGGAUUUAUUGAAGACUAACUACUGCGAAAGCAUUUGCCAAGGAUGUUUUCAUUAAUCAGUGAACGAAAGUUAGGGGAUCGAAGACGAUCAGAUACCGUCGUAGUCUUAACCGUAAACUAUGCCGACUAGGGAUCGGGCGAUGUUCUUUUUCUGACUCGCUCGGCACCUUACGAGAAAUCAAAGUUUUUGGGUCCUGGGGG
rnacentral:rRNA from 1 species